GUCAGUUUGUUUUAGAUUUAUGAGUUUGACUGUCCCUUUGGUAUCUUUCGUCCCUCUUUUAAACGUUUGAUACAAAUGAAUAUAAAAUCAGCUUGACCGUAGACUACACUAAGAACAAGAUAUCAAAUAUUUACUGAAAAAGUUCAGGUCAUUUUUAUAAAUAUUCAACAGUAAAGUAUGAGUUAUUCGAAAUACUAAGGAUUUUCUUAUCACAAGCAUUGAAAACCCUCAAGUAAGCCGCAUACUUGGCACAACUUUUUGGAAUUUUGGAUCCUAAAUGCUCUUUAACUUUGUACUUGUUUUGGUUUUUUAACAAUUUUGAUCUGAGCGACAAUGAUAAGUCUUAUGUAGACAA
rnacentral:lncRNA from 1 species